UACGAAGGGGACUAGCGUUGUUCGGAUUUACUGGGCGUAAAGCGCGCGUAGGCGGAUCACUAAGUCAGGGGUGAAAUCCCGAGGCUUAACCUCGGAACUGCCUUUGAUACUGGUGAUCUGGAGAUCGGGAGAGGUUGGUGGAAUUCCGAGUGUAGAGGUGAAAUUCGUAGAUAUUCGGAGGAACACCAGUGGCGAAGGCGGCUCACUGGACCGGAACUGACGCUGAGGCGCGAAAGCGUGGGGAGCAAACAGG
rnacentral:rRNA from 1 species